AUGAAAUUGCAGUCAAGGCGAAAUCUCGGCGCCACCGCCGGCCACCGUUUCGGCUUCUUUCGCAGGAAUCACAAGCUGAAUGCUGCUAUGAUUAUAGCUAUAUUCACUGCUGUUGGGUGUCUAAUUUGGUGUAUGAGCGAGAACCGUAACGAGAGGGAACACGUUGUCAAUGAGAUUCCCAUGGCCUCGUCCAAGGGUCUUAACGCAUUGGCCCGCGCUAAUGAACCUAUUGCAGAUACUCAAAAAGGUGAAGCAAAAGGAAGACAUGAGGUCUCUUCGACGAUCAAAGGCUGUUGCUGGGCCAUGGCUGCCGUAGCCUCUGUCGAGGCAUUACACUAUAUGAAGACCAAUCAGUCAAUCAUGUUGUCCGUUCAACAGCUCAUUGAUUGUGAUACAAAGAACAACGGUUGCAAUGCUGGUCAUUCCGAGGAUGCGCUCGAAUAUAUCAAGAAAAAUGGACUAUGGAGUGAAUCUUCCUACCCAUACAUGUACCAGAGUAAUAGUUUGGGUUGCAAGGGGAACAAAACGGUAGUAGCAAGGAUAUCUGGUUUUGAGACUGUCUCCAGAACGGAGGAAGCUCUGGAGGAGGCAGUAGCAAAGCAGCCCGUGAUUAUACGUUUGAAGUGGCCACCUAGUAUGCACAAUUACAAAGGAGGCAUCGUAGAGUAUGAAGACCUGCCAACAACUCUACCUGAUGGCACAGAACUCCGCUGGCAUGCUGUCAUAAUUGUCGGAUAUGGCACGGAUUCCAAUGGUGUCAAGUUUUGGCGUUUAAAGAACUCGUGGGGAGAGACUUGGGGGGAAGGGGGGUAUGGGAGGAUCCGGAGACAUGUCCAUAAUGGGCAAGGUGUACUAGGUAUCUGCGCAUAUCCGGCAGUAUAUCCUGUGGUUUGGUGA
rnacentral:rRNA from 1 species